AGCGUUUGUUCUGCAGAGCGAGUGUCGCUGGGACCAUAAGGUCUCAAUGACACUGCAAACACAGGUGGCCCGCCCUCAGCUGGCAGCGUCGAGGGGUCUUAGCGGGACGGAGGAGAGCGGGCGGGGAGCUGGAGCAGCAACUUGUUUGCCAGAGGACACACAAAAAAGCAACAGAGAGACAGAGACACCUGGACGGGUCACCCUGGACCAUCGAUCAGACCCUCCUCCACGCAGCCGGCCGGGCCGCUCUGGGGGGGGUUUGAUGCCCCGACGGAGGACAACAUUUCCCCUGACCUGUUCGACAAGCCUGCUUAAUUAUCCUUUGUCAAAUAGCAGACAAUAGAUAGUACUAAUACAAGUACUAGAGCCUGAACGCCUGCAGACAGCAGCAUGGACACAUAGACGAGACCGUGGGGGCAAACUAGACAACAGAGGAGAGACAUGGAGUCACAGCGGAGGGUCGGGAUGGUGAGAAGAGGAUGCACAGAGCACAGAGAAGUGAGCGCAGCAAAGGAUGCAACAAAAACAAGGAGUAGUGGGACAGAGUCGAAACAAAAGUUGAAAUGAAAGCUGGACAGAGACACACAAAGGUCAUGGUUUCACCUCUCACCAAUAGGAUUUUUGAGAUCAGAUUCUAGAAAUGGUUUGGUACAGGUAUGUCCACUGUUGCUGUGGAUCUUGUUAUGAUCAUUUGUAUUAUCUUUUUUCUUAUUGAUAGUACAGUAGUGUGCACAGUGUACUAGAUGGAAGUGUACUAACGGAAGUAUCCGAAUUGAGACACAGCUUAAGAUGUUGAACAUGGUAAACAUUACACCUGCUAAACAUCAGCAUGUUAGUGUGGUCACUGUGAACACGUAGAGUCUCGUUACUUGAUGACUAAUCAUAUUGUAAAAUAAUCUAUACGUCAUGUAUUGUUAGAAAUGUGUUGAUACUGGUGCUGGUAUGAUACUUAUGUUUACUGGACCAUUAAAGUAAUACCUUUUCCAAUA